rnacentral:rRNA from 1 species
UACGUAGGGUGCAAGCGUUAAUCGGAAUUACUGGGCGUAAAGCGUGCGCAGGCGGUUGUGCAAGACAGAUGUGAAAUCCCCGGGCUUAACCUGGGAACUGCAUUUGUGACUGCACGGCUAGAGUGUGUCAGAGGGAGGUGGAAUUCCACGUGUAGCGGUGAAAUGCGUAGAGAUGUGGAGGAACACCGAUGGCGAAGGCAGCCUCCUGGGCCAACACUGACGCUCAUGCACGAAAGCGUGGGGAGCAAACAGG